ensembl:lncRNA
UUUAGCUGGUGGAACAACCGGUUACUACAGCGGAUCUACAACAGUGUUAAACAGGAAGAGGCCUUAGUGCUUCAUAUAUGUUUAAUCAGUGAAAUUGUUAACCGCAAUUAACCACUGAAGAUAUCCGGUGUUACAAAGGUGUCGUAAAGGGAGAGCACAGUUGUUGUUUUGGUUUCACUACCGGUUAGCAAACCAGCCUAGAGACGCAAUACUGCCACCUGUGGGCCACGAUGUGUAGCUAAAAUGUCUGCAGUGUGGACAUAUUUUAAAUUAGAUAAACAGCUGUUUGUCAUAUCGAAGCCGCAAAACUUUGGAGAGGAUGUAGUAACGGAGCAUGAUAGUAUUAGAUUUAGAAUAUUAAAUGACUACGAUCUGUAUCUGGGAAAAAAAAAACAUGAAUGGAACAUCCCUAAAAACAUCUGCCGCCAUCGGGUUCAUCUUCAGUCCGACCUCACCGUCUUUAGCUUUUAGUGGCCUUUCUGUCAGCACGUCUCAGUUAAUGUUCACCAGUCGGCUGACAACAUCCAAUCACUGCUUCAGCUUGAUUUGUUUUUAUGUUCUUCUACAGACUCCAUGUUAAUGUGUUGUUCCAGCUCUUCAUAUCAAACCAAACAGCUUCAUGUUCUGAAUAUCAGGUUUAAUUCUGGGUCUUUAGCUUUGUUUGCCAGCAGAGUUUUUUAUCAUCUGUUUAAUGUGGAGUCGCAGCAAAAACUGGGAGAAUCUGGUCCAUAUCUCUCAUUGUUUGCUUCCAUAUCGAGCCUUUUGUGUCUGAUUGAAUUACUGUUGCUGGUCCAGAAUCACCACCUCUUCACAUCCCUGCGCUCAGCACUGUACAUAAACACAUAUUUAUUUUUACGAACAGACUGAGAUGACGUCAAACAUUCGACUGAUGCUGCAUCGCAGAGGGGAGUUUCUGCUAUUUAUUCAGUUUAUCUCUACACGCUGUGCACAUUAAUCCACACAGACGCUGAUAUGCAGCUCAGAUUAUGUUUCACUCUGCAUCACUUUUCUGGGGGAAGCAUCCAUCACACUCUGGUGUCUUUAAUACAAAACUCCCCGAGAGAGAUAUAACAUUUCAGACUCAUCGCAGUCGACUUUUAUCUCCUGGGAAGAUUCAUACGCCACCGAUCCAGAAUUGGAUUGGGCCAAACCAUCUCGUCUCUCUGCAGGAGUCAAAUUGUAAAGUCCCAAUAAAAGCAGCGCCAACUGACACAUGAAAAUAAUAAGCAGCUGGGACCAGAUGGAGACUCUGGUUGUGCUGCAGCGUCUUCCCUCAUGCAUUACAGUAAUGUCGGAGCCGUUGUGUUUAAAUGGCCUCUUUCACAGCUUGGUUCGGGUCACAUCAAUGACAGCGGCAACGUUUCCUUCGUUCUGCUGCUGUUCAACACAAAAUCGACUCUCAGCCAGAGUGUGAUGGAUGAAAUUUCUGUCCAGAAAACCUCUGCAAGGUUCUACAUGCCUCUAAACAUUAUGCAAGUUCUUCUGAGCUCCAGCAGAGGUGUCUCAAGGUUCACCUGGAGCUGCAGGUGUUAGAAGGUUCACCUGGAGCUGCAGGUGUUAGAAGGUUCACCUGGAGCUGCAGGUGUCUGAAGGUUCUCCUGGAGCUGCAGGUGUCUGAACGUUCUCCUGGAGCUGCAGGUGUCUGAAGGUUCUCCU